CUCUCUGUAUAAACUUUGCGUUUUUCUUUCUUCCGUUACCUCCAUAUCAGUUUUUAGGGUUUAGUGUUACAGUGGCGGAGAUAUCUUAGUUUGUGUUGGUGUUUUCUUGUAUGAGGUCAUCUAACAAAGCAAGAUAGGUUAUAAUUUGUACCAAUUUUGUGUCGGAAGAUGACAAGAUUAGUUUUAUAGGCCUCCAUGGGAAUUUCUUCAUGGAACUCUUCUCUUCCAUGGAGUUGCUCUGAGGAGGUUACACUUCCAUAGUCGUAUGUAUUUAUCUAUGUCCGAAUCAAGCUCGUUGAUCAAAUCAUAACCUUUUGUGUUAGUUUUGUUUUUUUAACACUCUGAGCUACUGUUUUCUGGUGUCUGAUGAGAUUCGUCAUCCUUAAAGCAAAUAGGUUAUAACCUCUGUGCCAAAUUUGUGUCGGAAGAUGACAAGAUUGAUUUUGCCUCUCCAUGACAAUUUUGCUUCAUGGAAAUCUUCUCUUCCAUGGAGUAGAUCUAUGGAGAGGCACAUCAUUGUGCAAUUGGUAAAUUCGUCUGAUCGUUUUUUUAUAUGUGUUUCUGCUUUUAUUAUCGGGAGAACAUUAUUACAGCAAGAUUUUGUGUCUGAAACAAGAGAAACGAUUGUCCAUUGAUACUUAUAGCAGUAACAAGCGAAAGAGUCUGUAAAUGAUACAGAGCAUUCUUUGAUAUGAUUAUCCAAAGAGGAUCUUAUUGAUGAAGAGUCUGUAAAUUCUCCUUUUCCUUAUUUAUAAAAGUCCGUCCUUAUUACAAAGCCGUAGAAUGAAUUUGCAAUGUUGAAAUAUGGAUGAAAUUUUGAAACUUGAUUCCUGGCGAUAAUUUGUGCUUUAACUGAAGAUUAGGUAAUUUUCAGCAUUAAGAUAGUUUGAGAAUUCAUGGCUACGAUGAUUGAACCAACUGGCUUAUGUUUUACCUAUCUGCG